CAGUCGCCACGGGAACACGUAGGGUGCAAGCGUUAAUCGGAAUUACUGGGCGUAAAGCGUGCGCAGGCGGUUUUGUAAGACAGAGGUGAAAUCCCCGGGCUCAACCUGGGAACUGCCUUUGUGACUGCAAGGCUAGAGUACGGCAGAGGGGGAUGGAAUUCCGCGUGUAGCAGUGAAAUGCGUAGAUAUGCGGAGGAACACCGAUGGCGAAGGCAAUCCCCUGGGCCUGUACUGACGCUCAUGCACGAAAGCGUGGGGAGCAAACAGGAUUAGAUACCCCAGUAGUCCCUGUCUCUUAUAC
rnacentral:rRNA from 1 species